rnacentral:lncRNA from 1 species
ACAGUGCUUCCGGAGCCCGACUGAGAACCGUAGCAGCUCAGGUGGACCGGGCCGCACGGCUACAAAUUAUUCCAGCAAAGAGUAAGGUGUAUGACAGCCAGGGCCUGCUGAUAUUCAGCGGCAUGGACCUCUGCGACUGCCUGGACGAGGACUGCUUGGGAUGCUUCUACGCCUGCCCCACCUGUGGCUCCACCAAAUGUGGGGCGGAGUGCCGCUGCGACCGCAAGUGGCUGUAUGAGCAGAUAGAGAUUGAAGGAGGCGAGAUAAUCCAUAAUAAACACGCUGGGUAAUUGAUAGUGUCACA